UGGGGAAUAUUGCACAAUGGGCGCAAGCCUGAUGCAGCCAUGCCGCGUGUAUGAAGAACGCCUUCGGGUUGUAAAGUACUUUCAGCGGGGAGGAAGGGAGUAAAGUUAAUACCUUUGCUCAUUGACGUUACCCGCAGAAGAAGCACCGGCUAACUCCGUGCCAGCAGCCGCGGUAAUACGGAGGGUGCAAGCGUUAAUCGGAAUUACUGGGCGUAAAGCGCACGCAGGCGGUUUGUUAAGUCAGAUGUGAAAUCCCCGGGCUCAACCUGGGAACUGCAUCUGAUACUGGCAAGCUUGAGUCUCGUAGAGGGGGGUAGAAUUCCAGGUGUAGCGGUGAAAUGCGUAGAGAUCUGGAGGAAUACCGGUGGCGAAGGCGGCCCCCUGGACGAAGACUGACGCUCAGGUGCGAAAGCGUGGGGAGCAAACAGG
rnacentral:rRNA from 1 species